rnacentral:piRNA from 1 species
UAUGCAUUCUCGCAUUGCUCA